UAUCUUGUUUAUUUAUUUAUUUUUUACUAAAGUCGAAGGCAAGGUAGUUGCUGUUAACUGCUCCACAUGUGACAAGGAGGUUCUAAACUGCUGGACCUACAAGAUGUGCUAUCCAGAUACCUUGGACUUAGCAGAAUCCACAAUAGUACUGAUAAUCACUGGCAUUGGACUCUUCAUCCUGGGCUUAGUAACAUGUUCUAUUGGAUACCAGAAAUACAGGAAACAAUCAAAAACAGUCUCUGAAAUAAAGACCACAAAAACAUGCAACACAUGAAAAUAAAUACCCACCCAAAUGAUUUACCUCAACAUUUAAAUUCUGUGAUUUUCUGAAUCAAAUAAGGUUGAAUGGUGGAUUAAGGACCAGACUGCUUAUUUCUAAGUAAGACUAUCCAUCAAUG